UACGGGGGGGGGUAAGCGUUGUUCGGAAUUACUGGGCGUAAAGGGCUCGUAGGCGGCCAACUAAGUCAGACGUGAAAUCCCUCAGCUUAACUGGGGGAACUGCGUCUGAUACUGGAUGGCUUGGAUUCGGGAGAGGAAUGCGGAAUUCCAGGUGUAGCGGUGAAAUGCGUAGAUAUCUGGAGGAACACCGGUGGCGAAGGCAGGUCUCUGGGCCAUAACUGACGCUGAGAAGCGAAAAGCAUGGGGGAGCGAACUAGGA
rnacentral:rRNA from 1 species